rnacentral:rRNA from 1 species
AGCGAACGCUGGCGGCAGGCUUAACACAUGCAAGUCGAGCGGGCAUCUUCGGGUGUCAGCGGCGGACGGGUGAGUAACGCGUGGGAACGUGCCUUCUGGUUCGGAAUAACUCAGGGAAACUUGAGCUAAUACCGGAUACGCCCUUUUGGGGAAAGGUUUACUGCCGGAAGAUCGGCCCGCGUCUGAUUAGCUAGUUGGUGGGGUAACGGCCUACCAAGGCGACGAUCAGUAGCUGGUCUGAGAGGAUGAUCAGCCACACUGGGACUGAGACACGGCCCAGACUCCUACGGGAGGCAGCAGUGGGGAAUAUUGGACAAUGGGGGCAACCCUGAUCCAGCCAUGCCGCGUGAGUGAUGAAGGCCUUAGGGUUGUAAUGCUCUUUUAUCCGGGACGAUAAUGACGGUGCCGGAGGAAUAAGCCCCGGCUAACUUCGUGCCAGCCGCCGCGGUAA